AUAGAGUUUUGAAUUCUGGCUCAGGACGAACGCUGGCGGCGUGCUUAACACAUGCAAGUCGAGCGGUAAGGCCUUUCGGGGUACACGAGCGGCGAACGGGUGAGUAACACGUGGGUGAUCUGCCCUGCACUUCGGGAUAAGCCUGGGAAACUGGGUCUAAUACCGGAUAUGACCUCCUAUCGCAUGGUGGGUGGUGGAAAGAUUUAUCGGUGCAGGAUGGGCCCGCGGCCUAUCAGCUUGUUGGUGGGGUAAUGGCCUACCAAGGCGACGACGGGUAGCCGACCUGAGAGGGUGACCGGCCACACUGGGACUGAGACACGGCCCAGACUCCUACGGGAGGCAGCAGUGGGGAAUAUUGCACAAUGGGCGAAAGCCUGAUGCAGCGACGCCGCGUGAGGGAUGACGGCCUUCGGGUUGUAAACCUCUUUCAGCAGGGACGAAGCGCAAGUGACGGUACCUGCAGAAGAAGCACCGGCUAACUACGUGCCAGCAGCCGCGGUAAUACGUAGGGUGCAAGCGUUGUCCGGAAUUACUGGGCGUAAAGAGUUCGUAGGCGGUUUGUCGCGUCGUUUGUGAAAACCAGCAGCUCAACUGCUGGCUUGCAGGCGAUACGGGCAGACUUGAGUACUGCAGGGGAGACUGGAAUUCCUGGUGUAGCGGUGAAAUGCGCAGAUAUCAGGAGGAACACCGGUGGCGAAGGCGGGUCUCUGGGCAGUAACUGACGCUGAGGAACGAAAGCGUGGGUAGCGAACAGGAUUAGAUACCCUGGUAGUCCACGCCGUAAACGGUGGGCGCUAGGUGUGGGUUCCUUCCACGGAAUCCGUGCCGUAGCUAACCGCAUUAAA
rnacentral:rRNA from 1 species